rnacentral:rRNA from 1 species
GCUGCAAAAGAAGUAGGUAGUUUAACCUUCGGGAGAACGCUUACCACUUUGUGGUUCAUGACUGGGGUGAAGUCGUAACAAGGUAGCCCUAGGGGAACCUGGGGCUGGAUCACCUCCUUAUACGAUGAU